rnacentral:rRNA from 1 species
CCCAUGUAACCGAUAGUGAACUAGUACCGUGAGGGAAAGGUGAAAAGUACUCCUAACGGAGAGUGAAAUAGAACCUGAAACCGUAUGCCUACAAGCAGUCGGAGUUCCGAUUUAUCGGGAUGACGGCGUGCCUUUUGCAUAAUGAGCCAGCGAGUUGCUCGUAUGUUGCAAGGUUAAUCCCUUUAUGGGAGGAGCCGAAGCGAAAGCGAGUCUGAAUAGGGCGAUUCAGUAACAUGCGGCAGACCCGAAGCCGAGUGAUCUAUCCAUGGCCAGGUUGAAGCGACAGUAACAUGUUGUGGAGGACCGAACCCACAAGGGUUGAAAACCUUGGGGAUGAGCUGUGGAUAGGGGUGAAAGACCAAUCAAACUCGGCGAUUUCUGGUUCUCCCCGAAAUGCCUUUAGGGGCAGCGUCGUGGAAGUGCCUCGGGGGUAGAGCACUGGAUGGACUAGGGGCCCUACAAGGUUACCAAACCCAACCAAACUCCGAAUACCGAGGUUACGAUCCCCGGCAGUGAGGCCACGGGGGAUAAGCUUCGUGGCCGAGAGGGAAACAACCCAGACCAACAGCUAAGGUCCCAAAAUCUGAGUUAAGUGACUAAGGAUGUAAGAUUGCACAGACAGCUAGGAGGUUGGCUUAGAAGCAGCCAUCCUUUAAAGAAAGCGUAAUAGCUCACUAGUUAAGGAAUCUUGCGCCGAUAAUCUCCGGGACUGUUAAACUCAGUACCGAAGCUCUGGUCCCGGCACAUUUGUGUCGGGAGGUAGGGGAGCGUUCCAUCUACCUGUGAAGUCCUAGACGGGAGUCGGGAUGGAGGAAAUGGAAGUGAGUAUGCUGGCAUGAGUAGCGAUAAUUCCAGUGAAAUUCUGGGACACCAAAAGCCUAAGGUUUCCUGAGUAAAGUAACUCUGCUCAGGGUUAGUCGGUCCCUAAGCCGAGGCCGAAAGGCGUAGGCGAUGGAUAACAGGUGAAUAUUCCUGUACCACCCAAUCAUCGUUUGAACGAUGGGGGGACGCAGAAGUGAAAGAUCAGCCCGGUUUUGAUUGUCCGGGUUUAAGUGUGUAGGGAGUUCUGGCAGGCAAAUCCACCGGAACCAUCCUGAGACACGAAUAGGAGGGCCUAGCCCACAAACUGAUCCUAAUCAUGCUGCCUAGAAAAUCCUCUAAGUGAGAUUUUUGGGUGACCGUACCGUAAACGGACACACGUAGGCGAGAAGAGUAUUCUAAGGUGCUUGGGUUAAUCGUGGUAAAGGAACUCGGCAAAUUGGCCCCGUAACUUCGGGAGAAGGGGCGCCUCAAGUAGGUAAAGGCCUUCGCGGCUGGAGCCCAAAGAGGUCGCAGAAACCAGGGUUGAGCGACUGUUUACCAAAAACACAGGUCUCUGCUAAGUCGCAAGACGAAAUAUAGGGACUGACACCUGCCCGGUGCCGGAAGGUUAAGUAGAGGGGUUAUCUCGAUUCGUCGAGAGAAGCUCUGAAAUGAAGCCCCGGUGAACGGCGGCCGUAACUAUAACGGUCCUAAGGUAGCGAAAUUCCUUGUCGGGUAAGUUCCGACCCGCACGAAUGGUGUAACGACUUGACCACUGUCUCUACCACGAGCCCAGCGAAAUUGCAGUGUCGGUGAAGAUACCGGCUACCCGCGGCAGGACGGAAAGACCCCGUGAACCUUUACUACAUCCUGACAUUGGGUUUUGGUUAUGUAUGUGUAGGAUAGGUGGGAGGCUUUGAAGCUCGGACGCUAGUUCGGGUGGAGCCAACCUUGAAAUACCACCCCUAUAUUGCUGAAAUUCUAAUUCCGACCCUUGAAUCAGGGCGGGAAACAGUGUCAGGUGGGUAGUUUGACUGGGGCGGUCUCCUCCUAAAAAGUAACGGAGGAGCCCAAAGGUUCCCUCAGCACGGACGGUAAUCGUGCAAAGAGUGCAAAGGCAUAAGGGAGCUUAACUGCAAGGCCGACAGGCCGAGCAGGUGCGAAAGCAGGGCUUAGUGAUCCGGUGGUCCCGAAUGGAAGGGCCAUCGCUCAACGGAUAAAAG